UGUAAAUACCCUCCUUGGGUGUUUCCUCCCUAGACUUGCCGCGCCUCGAGCGCGGUUUUUUUUGGCUUUU
rfam:Rhizobium taibaishanense strain 14971 scaffold1, whole genome shotgun sequence.